rnacentral:rRNA from 1 species
CGGCCGCGUCGACUGACGGUACCAGAGGAAUCAGCAUCGGCUAACUACGUGCCAGCAGCCGCGGUAAUACGUAGGGGCAAGCGUUAUCCGGAUUUAUGGGUUUAAAGGGAGCGCUAGACGGGAGAUUAAGUCAGCUGUGAAAGUUUGGGGCUCAACCUUAAAAUUGCAGUUGAAACUGGUUUCUUGAGUGCGGUUGAGGUAUGCGGAAUUCGUGGUGUAGCGGUGAAAUGCUUAGAUAUCACGAAGAACUCCGAUUGCGAAGGCAGCAUACCAAGCCGUAACUGACGUUCAUGCUCGAAAGUGUGGGU